GUUGUGAGUAUAGACUUUGAAGACGAAAAUUUUGGCCAGCGGAAAGGUCUGUGUUUGUUAUUGUUUUGGUAACUCCGCCGUAGGCUUUGUGCUGUUCCGAUUUAUAAGAUAGGAAAAGUAGAACACUAAAUUGUUGGAGAGAGAAUAGGAAACGUAAUAUACAUUGACAUACUGGGAGUCACUGAAGCGUUUAACGAUGGGACGUGCUAAAAGCAGAAAGUGACAUGCAGCUAAGCAGUAGAUACUGUGAGAGAAUUGCAUUUGCAAAACAUGAUACUGAAGUAGCAGGAACACAUCGCAAAUUCAGUAGUACCACAACAGAAUGACUACAGGAGCGAAAUGUACACCUCGCCACUCUAAAUUGGGGCCCAGCUCAACGCCAGAUUGCAGAAGAACGUCUCUGAGAAAUAGGGUACCCUGGAACUUAUUUAAGCUCUUAUGGGGCGUGAUGGUUACAGAAACAUCCGCCAGCUUGUCACACGCUAUUAAUGUUGGAGACUGGGCUGAGGAUGCUGUUUUGAUCAAGACUGACCCACAUCUCGUUUUGGACAAUCCCUCCACCACUCCAAAUGCUCCACAAGAAACUGAGAUUUCAUCGUCAUGCAAGAUUGCCCAUCAGCUAUUGAACAUACAAGGUACCAUGGUGAAUAAGUUCCCCUGCCAUCGUUAGCCUGAUGUUCCUUCCAUGGUGUGGCCAAGAAGGGGAACGAUUUGGUGUCACACUUCUGUGCGUUGAAUUGAACUUGUGAUCGCUAAGAGACUGCUAGUGUUUCACCACCACCAGCAAGAGAUGAUGGUCUACACUUCAUCGCAUGUCAUUCACCCUGAUGCCACCCACUCAGACCAGGGGCACUACCCACAGGUGCCACCUGGCAGGGCGGCCAUUGCCGGGCGUCCCGAUGCACCAGUAGGCAUGGGUAUCUACCCCUUGGCAUAGGUGGUGAUUUAAUGGCGCAGGCAUCAGCUGUGUGUUCCCUGUGUGGUCAGGGGGGCUACAACCAACACGGUACAUGGCAACCCCACCACAAUGGACUGGCUACCGUGCUGGAUUUCAGGUGCAAAGAAAUCCAUGGUCAUUGUCGACACAGAAAGCGACACUGCACAACGCAUGGUGGAAAACACAUCCAGGAAGGUGUCCUCACCCAAGAGAUGGGGAAUGAGUGGGACUGAGAUGCGACAAUGAGGAAGUGGGCUAAAGAUUUCAAUGCAUGAUGGAAAUUAUGCACCAUGUAAGGCUCCCUUCCCCAGUUGGCUUGAUCUUCGGGAAAGUUUUGAAGAAGGGAGUUCAAAACCCUACAGGGGACCGUCACAAAGGCCGAAACAUGGGAAACUCUUUUUAAUCGCCUGUUAUGGCAGGCAGGAAUACCUAGGUUGUAUUCUUACCCCCGGAUGUGCAGGGGGAGAACCAUCAGUGAUUUCACCAUACAGGCAAAGCAAAGAUGACUGAUGUGAAUCUACUACUUACUAUCUAAAUAUUUUGGGGAUGGCUGGAUGAGCAUAUGAGAUGUAGAUUUCUGUGCGAACUUCAUUGGUGCAUUUCCUAUUGUAACUGCCAAUGAGGAAGAGGUUUGUACAUCAGCUUGUGGUUGCUUGAAAGGAGCAUGAGGACCUUACCAAAUAUUAAGAGAAACCAAAAGAAUGGCCAUUCUCAAGAUUCUAUAAAUCAAAAUAUUUACCAAAAAGACAUACUGAAUUUGAUAUGAAAUGAUUUAUUGUGUAAUAAAAAUAUUUGCAAAGACAAAUGGCACCAAAAAGGACAUCAUUAACACUAUUAUUCUACAAUAGUAACAAAAAUAAAUACUGUUAUGUAUUUGCCUCAUUAA